UCCCUCUUUUCCUACAUACUAAACACUUUUCUUUUUAGUCCGUAAAAAAAAAAAAAGACUCAUUUCUUUAUUUGAUAUAUUAACUUUAAACUAUACCUUUUUAUGCAUGUAUAAUUACAUAAAUAUUUUUGGCUUGUUUUAGACUAUAAGAUUUUAUAGUCUUCCUUUAAAUUGCAAAAAGAUUCAACUUGUACUAUAACAGGUAAAAUUGUUGACAUGUGAUCAUAAAGUCAUAGGUUUGAGCUGUGAAAAUAGCAUCUCGCAGAAAUACAGGUGGAGGUCUUGAUUUGUGUGGUGUUGACCAUCUUGGGAUAUAUUCCUGGAAUUAUCUAUGCUCUUUAUGCAAUCCUGUGGGUUGAGCGUGAACCACCAUCCGAUCAAUAUGAGAGUCUUACACCUUGAUACUUCUUGUACUGUACUUCUUUGCUUAUAAUAAUGGUUGGUACC